AGUGAACGCUGGCGGUAGGCCUAACACAUGCAAGUCGAACGAGUGGCGGACGGGUGAGGAAUACAUCGGAAUCUACUCUAUGGAGGGGGAUAACGUAGGGAAACGGACGCUAAUACCGCAUACGAUCGAAUGAGCCGAGAUCGGAUUAGCUAGUUGGCGGGGUAAAGGCUCACCAAGGCGACGAUCCGUAGCUGGUCUGAGAGGAUGAUCAGCCACACUGGAACUGAGACACGGUCCAGACUCCUACGGGAGGCAGCAGUGGGGAAUAUUGGACAAUGGGCGCAAGCCUGAUCCAGCCAUCCCGCGUGGAUGAAGAAGGCCUUCGGGUUGUAAAGCCCUUUUGUUGAGAAAGCGGUACCCAAAGAAUAAGCACCGGCUAACUUCGUGCCAGCAGCCGCGGUAAUAC
rnacentral:rRNA from 1 species